ensembl:snoRNA SNORD15 Small nucleolar RNA SNORD15
CUUCAGUGACGAUAAGAUGACGAGUCAGAAAGGAUGUCCUUGCAUGAGCGUAGCCUGAUCGGUGCCAUGUUCUGUGGUACGGUGCUACGGCUGCCUUGGGCAGGAUGUCCUACUCAUUGGAUGAUUUAGAGGCAUUUGUCUGAGAAGG